rnacentral:tRNA from 1 species
GCCUCGUUGGUCCAGUGGUCAGGACGUCCGGUUGUCAGCCGGGAGAUCGCCGGUUCGAAUCCGGUACGGGGCG